CAAAACUGAUCAUCUAGAACACUUCAUCUGAGUUGAAACACUAUCAAUCAAGCUUCAUAAGAUCUAUUCAACAACUCAUGAAAAAAAGAGAAGACGAUGAAACAUAUGUUCUGUACACACAUGCCUUUCAAAAUAGUUCCCUAAAAAACCUUGUUUCGCAUAACUCUGGCGAUGGCCAAGCCCGGGAGCCUUUAGUCGAUGAGGACCAGACUAAGCUGACACUCCCAUGGUUGCAUACAUCAACCAUGCCCUCCCAAAAUCAGAUCUACUCAUUCUUAAUGACAUUUAUAAUCACAUCUACAUACAUGAAAACAUGAGUAUAAUCAGAAAAUGAAGAGGCUGGUAAAGGGCCACCAAAACAGAGAAGAGGCAUGCCUAAAGCAUAUUCAUGAUAAUGUAAAAAAGAAAUCAGUUAGUAAGCUCAACAAAACAAAUGGUAGUCUAUAACACCAUUACAUAGGGCAAAGGGACAUUAGUUUUCCGGCAUUGUCCAGUGAUGCAGGGAUAAGGGGAACAUGACAAUAAUAUACGUAGAUUCAUAGCCAAAGGUAGACCACCCAAAUAAGGGGAACAUGACAAAGAUGAGACGAUCAACCAACGAACUAACACAACAGCACACAAAGCAAGCACUACAGAGAAGUCCUCAGCUUGAUCAACCAACCAUUGCAUAAAGAAAAUAUAAAAGUAUGACAACUAAACAAAAUAGAAGAAUCUAAGCUUAAGUGGCGAACAAAUAGCUUCUGCACUCACUGCAUAUAGCCAAUUAGCUAUACUAUCAUGUACUAAAAUAAAGAAUAGUUUGUUUGCCUGAAAGCUAUUUUCUGAUAUCCAUCGCAUCAAAUCGAUUUAGGAUUUAACUCCACAAGAACCAAAAGUAUCAGUGUGUGCACAUUUUAGUUAUGUAUCCUAAAAGGCAGUAGGUUUAGAAGUAUCAUAAGAAACCAGAGAAUGAACUUUCCUGCCUCACCUAUCAUCUGGAGAUUAAUAGAAGGCCAAACCGACGCUGCCAAGCAUUUUUAGAAUUGGAUCCCAAACAAAUGGGAAAUGAUGCCUAGAAUGAAAAGGCUGCACAAGGCACACAAGAAUAAUCUAAAGCAGGGUAAUUAAAAAAUUGAAUAUUACCAACACUACUAAGGAAAACCCUAUACACAGAAUCUUAGUAGCAGUGCGGCUCAAAAAGGAGCGCUGCUGCUAAUUAGUAGUAGCGCGGGUGUGGAAAACCCGCUAUUGACAAGUGUUUAGCAGUAGCGCGCUCGGUGUAACCCGUGCUGCUACAAAUAUCGACCGACAAUGCCCACCAAACUCCAUGUAGCAGCAGCGCGGUGCCGCGAGCCGCGCUACUGCUAUAGCUAUACUAGUAGCGCGGUUUUUCUGAGGUCGCUGUUGCUAAUUUUCAAAUUGGGCACACUUUUGGUCCCGGUUAGCAGUAGCGCUUGUGCCAAAAGUGCGCUGCUGCUACUUUCUUAGCAGCAGCAUGUUUUACAUCCCGCGCUACUGCUAAUCCGCACCAACCCACCACCUUUUCCCCACCCAUCGUCCCCCUCCCGCUCCUCCCUUCCCUUUCCCCUACCUCCCACAUCCUCCCACUCUCACUCUUCUUCUUCCUCAAUACUUCUCCCCCAUUACUGUCCCUCUUCUACCUACCUUUCUCUCUCUUCAUUACUCCUACCUAACUACACCACCUCCAUUAAUGCAUCUCCUUUCUCUUUUUCCUUCCCCAUGCACUAGUUGAAGUUGUCUCCUCUCAAAUUAGGUAGCUAGGUAGAUGUAGCAUUUAGUUAAGUGACCUAUUUGCCCCCUAACUAGAUAUAUCUUUGUCAAGAAGAGCUGUGUGCACUUUUGAUCUCCCUACAUCACCAUCUCCACUGUGUGCUCGAUCUCGAGAUAGAGGUGAUUAAAAUUUCAUGCUUUUGCAAAAUGGAAAUAUGUUUAUGUGUGUGUGAUAUGUUUAUGGAAAUUGUGUGUGUGGCAUGAGUUGACGCCAAAUUGUUCUUUUGAGUUGCCUAUGUUUUGCCAAAAUGUCGAUUUAUUUCCGUUUCGGCGAAUUCUGGGCAAACUCCAGAUAUAUAUAUGUCCUAUUUUUAAGGAAGGUCAUGCCGAAUUUUUAUAUGACUUUGAUGCAUGCACGCAUUUUUAUAAUCAACUUUUUUAUUAUUACUGUGUAGAGUUGACGAUGGUCAGUGGAACGAUGGUGGACAGGUGGUUGCGAUCGGCGGUGCAGCACAUGAAAGAAAAUAACUGGACAGAGGUUUUAUGUCCGUGUCAAAAAUGCAAAGGAAUAGUUUGGCUCGACCCCCAUGGCGAUGGUCGUGUCGAAGCGCACCUUCUCAUGACUGGUUUCAUGGAUGGCUAUACACGAUGGAUAAUUGAAGAUGAGGAUGACAAUGUUGAGGAUGCCGACGAGGCAGUCAAUGAUGACACGGGGCAAGACGAAGAGAUGAUCGAUAAUGGCGGCGGGGAAGAGGCCGGACAUGGCGGCGGAGAAGCGACCGGACAUGGUGGAGGAGAAGGGGCCGGACAUGGCGGCGGAGAGAACGACAUGGACUCCACGCAGCAGAGUUCAUCGGUACUAAGUUCAAUCAUGCGGGACCCUCAUGUUCAAGCAUUGCUUCGCAAGGAGACGAGUACUGAGAGAGCUGCUUCUAGAGAGGAGGCUAAGCUGGAGCAACUAGUGAUAGACUCGAACACUCCAUUGUAUGAUGGUUGCAAUCCUGAGGUGACCCGCUUGAGUUUCACGCUCCAACUCCUGAAGACGAAGGCUAAAAACAAAUGGACCGACACUAGCCUGAUGAGCAUCUCAAGUACCUAAAGGAUAUUCUUCCCGCGGGUAAUCUAUGUCCUACUAGUGUUGAUGAGGCCAAGAAGAUCGUGUGCCCUCUUGAUCUGCCACACGUUAGAUACCAUGCAUGCAUCAACGAUUGCAUAAUUUAUUGGAAGGAGCGCACGGAAAAAAACAAGUUGUCCGGUGUGCAAUGCUUCUCGAUACAAGAAGGCCGGGAAGAAAUGUCCCCAGAAAGUUGUAUGGUACUUACCGAUCACUCCCCGUCUCCAGAGGUAUUUUGUAGAUCCCAAGGAAGCAAAGCUAAUGCGCUGGCACGCAGAGAGGAAGAAGCCCAACGAUGGAGAUGAUCCGAAGCCGAGACGCGUCAAGGAUGGAAGCCAGUGGAGAGCGUUGAACAACUUCUAUCGGUAUUUUAAAUGUGAUGCAAGGAACAUCGUGCUCGGCGCGUGUACCGAUGGCAUGAAUCCGUUUGGCAACCAGAACACCAACCAUACCACAUGGACCGUGUUUGUAUGGAUGUACAACCUCCCCCCUGGCUGUGCAUGAACUCGAAGUACAUUCAGAUGAGCAUGCUUAUUCAAGGGACAAAACAACCAGGAAAUACUAUUAAUUUGUAUCUGGGGCUACUUCAAGAGGAGUUAGACACGUUAUGGAAAACACCGGCCAAGACAUGGGACGCCAGCAAAGGCGAGUAUUUCAACAUGAGAGCCGCGCUGAUCACGACAGUGCAGGACUAUCUCGGUUACGGAUAUGGGGCAGGCCAGGUGUGCCAUGGAUAUUGCGGAUGCACGCAGUGCAUGGAUGAUACAACGUCUCAACAGCUAACGUCAAGGAAAGAUGGCGGGUCUGGGAAAAUCAUGUACAUGUGGCAUCGAAGAUGGCUCGAACAGGAUGACCCGUGGAGAAACUGUGGAGAUCUAUUCAAUGGUCACGCUGAGCAUCGAGGACCUCCACGUAAGCAGAGCAGUGCCGAAAUCGAUGAGCUGUUGAAAAACUGGAAGGAGUGCCCCGCGCUGGGGAAGACGAUGAGAAAGGCGCCAGAGCCGCUGCUGAAGGUAUGGAAGAUGAGGUCUGUGUUCUGGGACUUGGAGUACUAGCACAAACUCGAUACACCUCAUUGCCUUGAUCAAAUGCAUAUCUGUAAGAAUGUCCUUAAGAGCUUGCUCGCAACACUGAUGAACUUGCCGGAUAAGACCAAGGACGGGCCGAAGGCAAGAAAAGACUUGCAAGAUUUGAAAAUCAGGGAAGAUCUGCACAUGCCGCCCCGUAAAAUGUCAGACGAGAUAGAGACGGAGAUAGAGACAUGGGAGAAGAAGGGCAAGAAAAUAAAGAAAGAGGAUUAUUGCCCCCCUGCUUGCUUCACCUUAAGUCAGGCUGAGACCGAUCAAUUCUUUAAGUGCCUUACCAGAGUCAAAGUUAGGUCCGGUUACUGUGGCAAGAUAAGCAGAUAUCUAGACACAGACAAGAAAAGGUUCAGAGGGAUGAAGUCCCAUGACUGUCAUGUGAUGAUGACGCAGAUACUACGUGACAUGCUUAUUGGUCUUUGCAACUUUUCGACGUUAUCCCUCGAAAGUCAAUCAGUGUGAAGCAGCUCCGAAGGCUACAGGAAGAGAUCAUUGUGAUACUGAAUGAGCUUGAGAUGUACUUCCCGCCCGCGUUCUUUGACAUGAUGGUGCAUCUGUGUGUCCAUAUUGUGGAUGACAUAAUAGACCUGGGCUGUUAUUCCUGUACAACAUGAUGCCGUUUGAGAGGAUGAAUGGGAUCAUCAAAGGAUUAGUUCGUAACAUGUCCCGUCCGGAUGGAAGCAUCGUCCAGGGCUAUGUGACACAAGAGUGCAUCUCUUUCUGUGAGAAUUUUCUAUAUGGCACGGACCAGCCGCCUGGUGUUAGUGUUGGUUUCUCCGUUAACAAGCACGAUGGGAGGCUCGAAGGAGAAGGUCACUGCAACGGUCGCAGGGAAGUACAUGUGGCAUACUCAGAUCGAUGCAGCGACUUUGACAGAGCAAACAUGGUAGUGCUACAACACCUAGACAAGGUAGAUCCUUUCGUGGCACUGCACAAAGAAAUUAUCACAAAGAAGUAUCGUGACCGGGGGGUAUGCAGGACGGACGCCGAAGUUACUAGAGAGCACAACUCCACUUUCCUGCAUUGGUUCAAAGAGCAUAUUAUUGCUAAUCCCCCGGAGGAGGGCUCUAAGGACGGAUUGCUCAUAUACACCUUAGCACAUGGCCCCUCGCCCAACCUUGUAACCUAGCAGGCAUAUGAUAUCAACGGAUACACGUUCUACACGGAGGCCAAAGAUAUGGACAAUGAUGAUCAUAACUCAGGGGUGAUGAUGGAAUGCAUGACCGGCAGCGACAAGGGCGCAACUGAACGAUUUUAUGGAAGGGUCGAGGAGAUCUGGGAGCUUGACUACUCUGGACUGCACAACACGACGAUGUUCCGUGUCAGAUGGGCUAAGAAUGUCGAAAGACAAAACCGGAUUUUCACUACCAUGACUAUACCCAACACCAAGAGCGCUACCAUGAAUGCUGAGGGAGUCCUGGAUUAGGGGGUAUCCGGACAGCCGGACUGUGUGCAACGUCCAGACUAUUGAAGCGUGAAGAUACAAGACUCAAGACUUCGGCCUGUGUCCGGAUGGGACUCUCCUUUGCGUGGACAGCAAGCUUGGCGAUCCGGAUAUUGUGUUUCCUUUCUUGUAACCGACUCCAUGUAAACCCUAGCCCUCUCCGGCGUCUAUAUAAACUGGAGAGUUGGUCCUUAGAAGGCCAAUCACAAUUACAAUCAUACCAUUAUAGGCUAGCUCUUAGGGUUUAGCCUCUACGAUCUCGUGGUAGAUCUACUCUUGUACUACCCAUAUCAUCAAUAUUAAUCAAGCAGGAUGUAGGGUUUUACCUCCAUCGAUAGGGCCCGAACCUGGGUACACAUCUGUGUCCCUUGCUUCCUGUUACCAUCAGCCUUGACGCACAGAUCGGGACCCCCUACCCGAGAUCCGCCGGUUUUGACACCGACAUUGGUGCUUUCACUGAGAGUUCCUCUGUGAUGUCGCCGCAAGGCUCGAUGGCUCGUCUCAUCGUCAAGGACGACAUUACCUCGGAGGGGGCUCUGGCUGUAGGCCAGACGCUCUGGCUUGGCGGCUUUAUCAUGGCCGCCCCAUCGACGGUGGCACCGACGAGGGCUUCUCGGGUCAUCAAUCAUAACCUUCGCGUUAGUUCAGAACUUGCCGAACAGAUGGAUCCAAUGGAGCUCUCCUCUCUUAACGAACUCUUGGAUCGCAUCGCCGCUCUGGGAGUCACUACAGACUAUGACCGGAUUGGGAUUAAACCCGACCAAAGGGACAUCAGGUCCCCGCUGGCCACCCAUGAGAUAGCGAUAGUGGAGGAACCACACGCGGAUUGCCCCUCAACUUUGAGGACAAAUUAUGUUCGGAUCGCCGAACUCCUUGAGCCGAAGACCAGCUUAAAGGAAAACUUGACCCAGGUCUCGGACUUAGAGUCGGGCAUUGGGCUGAAGAAAUUGGGCAGCACUCCGGAUUCUGAGCUGCUAAGCUCGGAACCGCCCGCACCCCUAGGUGUUAGGUCGGAUCAAAAUCCGGAUUCUGCUAACAGCACCUACCUGGACUUAAACUGUCUCUCCCGCAUCAGGCAAGAGCCCCAGGAAACCAUACAUCGCUACUGGGCCAGAUUCCUCCUUGCGCUUAACAAGGUCAGGGACUGCCGCAAGGAGAACAUGGUCUCACUCUUUUGCAAAAACUGCACGGACGAAGGACUCCUCAAUGCUAUAAGCCGCCGUGACAUAGUAUGCUUCGCGGACUUGGCAAUCAUAGUACGGAAGUACUGUGCAAUGGAGAGCGCUUGGAAGACCCAAACAGAAUUUUGGGAUAGUACUACUCUCACUAAGACCAUUGUCCUAACUAAACGGACAAACUCUCGUAAGUCGUCUGAUCCAAUCCCCAAGAAACCAAAGCCCACCCCAGGGCGGGGAUCCGUAUUGGAAGAAUGGCUCGACGGGCCAUGUAAGCUCCACAGUACUCCGGAUACAACACCAACUCAUAGCCUUAGGGCAUGUUGGAUACUCCGGCAGGUGGCAAAAAGUGGUGAGGAUCUUCUUGUGGGCCAUAAAGCGGAACAACAUCCUACCAGCGAACACAAUACGAUACUAAAAGUCUUCAAGACUUUUGCCUCGAACAAUAGGCGCAAGCGAGCUCGUCGGAGCUCCGCUGGAAUUUACCAUGUGGCAAAAAUAAACCCCUGGAACGACACUGCUAUAACUUUUAAUGCUAGUGAUGAACCUCGAUUCCAGACCAUACGGGCACCAGCCGCUCUUGUCCUUAGCCCGAUCGUAGAUGGCUUUCGGCUCACUAAAGUACUCAUGGACGGCGGAAGUGGAUUAAAUCUGAUUUAUGAAGAAACACUCAGCAAGAUGGAGAUUGAUAAAAGCCGCAUUGAACAAAGCGAUACGACCUUCGGGGGAAUUAUCCCUACUCGAGAAGCGCAGUGUGCGGGCAAAAUCACACUCGAUGUGGUAUUCGGCACCUCGGAGAAUUAUAGGUCAGAAGAAAUCACAUUCCAAGUGGCUCCUUUUAGCAGCGGAUACCACGCCCUUCUAGGGCGGGAUGCAUUUACGAGCUUUCAAGCUAUACCCCAUUAUGGGUACAUGAAGCUUAAAAUGCCCGGACCCAAUGGAAUCAUCACUCUAGCCAGAGAUCCGGACCUUGCACUUUGCGCCAAAAAUAAAACUGAAGCACUAGCCUUGGAAGCAUUAUCUGAAGCCGUAGGAGCAGAAGAGUUAACAACACUUCGGUCCACCGUGGACAGGGACGACGUGAUACUAGACAAGCGACCCAAGUCCACCUCAUUUAAGCCUGCAGACGAGAUAGUCAAAUUCCAGGUCUAUCCAACGGACCCCACAAAGACAGCUUCCAUCGGGACACAGCUGAGCCCCGCGAUGGACGCCGCACUACGAGAUUUCUUACGCGAGAAUUGGGACAUUUUUGCCUGGCACCCAUCGGACAUGCGAGGCAUCCCACGCAGAUUGGCCGAACACAGCCUCAAUAUUCUAAAAGGAUGUAAACCAGUCAAGUAGACUCUGAGGCGAUUCUCCGAGCCCAAACGACAGGCAAUGGGGGAAGAGUUGGCCAAGCUACUCGAGGCCGGAUUCAUCAGAGAUAUUAAACAUCCGGAUUGGCUGGUAAAUUUGGUGAUGGUACCAAAGAAGGACAAAUCCUGGCGCCUAUGCAUCGACUUCAAAGACCUUAACAAGGCUUGCCCCAAGGAUCCCUUUCCCCUCCCUCGCAUCGAUCAAAUCAUCGAUGCCACAGCUGGACACGACUCUCUGUGUUUUCUCGACGCCUACUCUGGAUACCAUCAAAUAAAGAUGGCAGAGUCUGACCAAGCUGCAACAACUUUUAUAAUGCCAUAUGGCCCUUUUUGCUUCAACACUAUGCCCUUCGGUCUCAAGAAUGCCGACGCAACCUAUCAACGCAUGAUUCAAACAUGCCUGGAAAAACAAAUCGGCAAAACAGUGGACGCAUAUGUGGACGACGUGGUCAUAAAAACUAGACACGUUGAAAUCCUGAUAGAUGACUUGAGGCUCACAUUCGAUAACCUCUGGAUAUAUGACAUUAAGUUGAAUCCAGAAAAAUGCGUCUUCGGUGUUCCAUCGGGGAAACUGCUGGGCUUCAUUGUUUCCAAUAGAGGAAUUGAAGCGAACCCGGCAAAAAUACGAGCUCUAUCUCAGUUGGAUAUACCAACAGACCUCAAGCACAUCCAGAAGCUAGUCGGAUGCGUGGCCGCUUUGAGCCGCUUUAUCUCCAGGCUAGGAGAAAAGGCAUUGUCUCUUUACCGCCUCCUUCGGUGCACCGAACACUUAGUAUGGACGGAUGCAGCCGCGGCCGGACUCGAUGAAAUAAAGACCUUACUAGCCAGUACUCCAGUCCUAACAACGCCGAACAUCGACGAGCCUAUGCUAUUGUAUAUAGCGACAACACAUCAAGUUGUAAGCGCAGUACUCGUCAUCGAACGAGAGAUUGACGGAUACAAAUUCCCGCUCCAAAAGCCGGUUUAUUACGUAUCCACAGUCCUCACCCCAUGCAAAUCCCGAUACCCACAUUAUCAAAAAAUAGCAUACGCGGUCUUCAUAGCAUCCCCGAAGCUGCGACACUACUUUCAAGAGUGUUCAAUCACAGUAGCCUCCAAAGUACCACUCAACGACAUAAUAAACAACCGCGACGCUACGGGCCGAAUUGCUAAAUGGGCCAUCGAGCUCCUUCCGUUCAACAUAAUGUACAAACCACGGCGGGCCAUCAAGUCGCAAGUACUGGCUGACUUUGUCGCCGAAUGGACGGAAGCCGAACUCCCUAAGGAGUACGGCGCAUACUCCAACUAGAUCAUGCACUUCGAUGGCUCCAAAAUGCUGGCCGGCUUGGGAGCAGGUGUAGUCCUGACGUCUCCCACCAAAGACACGGUCCAGUACGUCCUCCAAAUACUUUACACAGACUCCAACAAUGCAGCCGAAUAUGAGGCUUUGUUGCAUGGUCUUCAGAUGACGGUCUCUAUGGGCAACCAACGCUUGGAAGUGCGCGGGGAUUCGAACCUCACAAUAUCACAAAUAAACAGACACUUCGACGCCAAGGAUCCAAAAAUGGCGGCCUACCGUAAUGUCAUCCUCAAGAUGUCAGCUCGAUUUGAGGGGCUCGAAUUCCACCAUGUGGCUCAAGAAAACAAUAAAGCGGCGGAUGUCCUUGCCCGCAUCGGCGCCAAACGCGACCCUGUCCCACCUAACAUAUUCCUGGAAAGGCUGUUCAAGCCAUCCGUAGUAUGGGAAGGGGAGUCCGGCAAUACCAGCACGGAUCCGAACACACCCCCAGAUUCCGAGCCAUCAGACACAAUUGGAGGCUCUGCCACCGAAAUAACAUCUUCGGCCCACGAAAUCAUGGCCGUAAUUGCCCCGUGGACUGAGCCUUUCUUGGCCUACUUAAAUAGGCAGGAGCUCCCCUAAGACCAAAACGAAGCACGCUACAUAGUCCGGCGCUCUAAAUAUUACAAGGUCCACGAAGGGGAACUCUAUAAGAAAAGCGCGACGGGAGUACUCCAAAGGUGCAUCUGCGAAGAGGAAGGGUGGCAACUCUUGGCUGAAAUCCAUGCUGGACUGGGCGGACACCACGCCGUGGCUCGAGCGCUAGUCAGCAAGGCCUUCCGUACAGGCUUCAAUUGGCCAACGACCCGAGCAGACGCACAAGACCUUGUCCAACAUUGCGUCGGUUGCCAGCUCUUCGCCAAUCAGAGUCAUAUGCCCCCUACCGCUCUCCAAACAAUCCCCAUAACUUGGCCCUUCGUGGUCUGGGGGCUGGAUAUGGUCGGACCCCUUAAAGGGGGAAGUCAUAAGAAAAAAUACUUAUUGGUCAUGGUGGACAAGUUCACCAAAUGGAUAGAAGCCAAACCAGUUAAAACGGCCGAAUCCGGACCUGUUAUAGACUUCAUAUCCGGGGUCGUACACCGAUACGGUGUCCCCCAUAGCAUCUGCACUGAUAAUGGCUCAAACUUCACAGACGAUGAAGUGAAAACUUGGUGCGGCAAAAUGGGCAUUAAGCUCGACUACGCUUCCGUCUACCACCCACAAACAAACGACCAGGUCGAACGGGCAAACGGUCUCAUUAUGAGCGGCAUCAAACCCAGACUAGUGCGAUCUUUAACAGAAUCGGAUACACAGUGGGUAGAGGAGCUCGACUCCGUACUCUGGGGGCUGCGGACCAUACCGAAUUGUACCACCGGAUAUACAACAUUUUUAUGGUGUACGGUGCGGAAGCAGUACUACCCUACGACAUAAUACAUGAUUCGCCACGCGUACGCAUGUACGAAGAAAAGGAAGCCGAGUUAGAUCGGCUGGAUAACUUGGAUGCCCUAGAGGAGGAGCGCGAUGUCACAAAAGCCCGUUCUGCAUUCUAUCAGCAGCAGGCUCGAUGAUAUCAAAGCAGAGAAGUGCGGGCCAAAACUUACAAUAUUGGCGAGUUCGUUCUACGCCUUCCGGAGAAGAAGAAGAACAAACUCGAACCCAAGUGGGAAGGACCCUUCGUCAUUGACAAAGUUCUCACCGGAGGAGCGUACCGUUUAUGUAAUGCAUACGAUAACAGACUCGAGUCGAACCCAUGGAACGCGGCCAGACUCCGGAGAUUCGACGCCUAACGCCGAACUUAGUGUUCGUCUCCUUACCCCUCCUUUUUAAUUAUGCUCCACCCCUUUGCUCUCCUUUCUCGACCCUUUUUCUCUUCACACAAAGUAUUUAAUAUAGUGCGGACUCCCGGAUCACUCCGGCCGUACUAUGUGUGUAAGCUAUACCUGGGGGCUUCCUAUUCGGAAGCUAGACAUAAUUACUUUAAAUGGCUUUUUUCCCAUCGCAUAUGCGUUCUUUAUCCAUAUGCGCCUUUUCUUCACCAUUAUAUGCAUCGAUAUGACUUAAGAUGUGGCCAAGCUGGGUUGCCUAGCUCUUGUGUUUAUGCCCUACGUUCCCGUUAAUUCGGCUAGGGCAUAAGGGGAGCACCUCUGUGAUUGUUACUGCCGGUUAAGCCGGAUGUGUACCUUAGACUGGGUGAAGCCGAAAGCUAGUUUCCUUAAGAGAAUAUUCGAUCGGUGAACAAAGGAUGUAUUCGUUGGUUACAACAAAAACCCCCAGAAGUUGUGUAUCCCGUGCAUCGUUCGUACUCCGGACAUGUGCAUUGGCGCAUGCGUACCCAGGGAAAGGAACCCCUAACGGAACUAUUCUCCCUGGAAGAUGUUUCUUACUAUCCAUGUAAUAUAACAUAACUAGUUGGGUACUUGUCUAUUCAAGCACUUAUGACCCAUACGCCUGGUCUCCACGUAUACCCCGGUUUUGUAUAACAGAGCGGGUAUUCGGACACACCCCGGACUGUAGGAUCCAGGGGCUGAAACGAAAAGGUCCUCCAUGACAAAUGAUUUUAAUCCGGCUAGGGGCUACUUAUGCCCAUUAAAUUACACAGUCACUUGGACUGACUAUAUUCCUCCUCUAUACCAUCUAACAGGCUAUCUAGCUUACAAUCCUAUUGAGAAUACUUAGCGGCUAAUGCUACCUAGUCAUAUACCAGACUUACCGGAAUUUCUUGCCCAUCGGGCCCCGCCGGUCCUACUUCGGCCAUAUGAUUCGGGUCCAGCUUGGUGUAGGCAUCUUCACCAUUACCCAUGCUUCUCUUGCUCCUUGCCGGCAUGCAGAUAUCUUCCACAGACGGAAGCGCCACCGGGCUCCUUGAAGCAGGUCCGCAAGCUCCCCCAUGCCAUUCGGCAGGAGGCUUGAUGGCCACAAGGCCUGAGCAACGUCAUGCAUCACCUGUCAAGCACGCUCGUGCAACUGCAAAAGUUCUUGCAGCAAAUCACCUGCAGAUGAGGGCAUCUCCUCUUCAGGGCGACCCGUUAACAUUCCUGCAAGCAAAAGUUUUUUCAAAAAAAAAUUCCUCGCCGAACUAUAACACAGUUCGUUUGAGCUCUUACCAUAAAUGCCACGUCGAAGCCUUUUGUUCUCCUUCACGGAGUCCGCCAGUUGAGAACGAACGUCCUUUAAUUCCACGUCCAGACAAAUAUUGGCAUCUUGUAGCUUGUUCUUCUCUUGCGUCGCCAGCGUAAGGAAGCGCUCGCAAGCCUUUAGCUGUCGUUGGAGAUGUGAGUCGUCACCCAUUACGCCCUCCGGAUUCACCCCGGGAUUGUCUGCUGAAUUUUCUGUUAGACUAACCGCACCAGCCAUUUACUAACUGGUACAUCUGCGUAUAAUGGAGACAAAUAUUACAAGAGGGGACUUCCGGGAUCCGUCUAACUUGGCUACCGCAUCAAUCAGCUGGGCCUUGCAUGCAUCAAGCUCCCGAGCCAAUUGUUCGUUCUUGUCCACAAGGAGCUGUGCAUAUAUUGAUCCUUCAAACAGUUGUCCCAACUAUUUCAAGUCUCAGGGGCUACUACUAUACAUACUUGUCAAAACUUUCUUACCUGUAUAUCUUUGGUGCAAUGGUUCGUCGCUUGGGCAAGCCCGCCUCGAGCAGCUCGGACGUAUGCGUCUGCCGAAUUGAAGGCAUUAAAAGCCUCUUUAGAAAAGAUGUUGUUCCGAAGCACGGCCCUCCGGCGCCGGCGAUUCAUGGCGCUCUCCACCUCGGAGUUCGUGGCCGAACACAUAUCCGCGUCCUCUGUCGGAGGACUGCGUGGUUCUGGCCCCGUGUCCGCCUCCGCCCUCGAAGCCGGUUCUGGAACCUGGCUGGUGGAGGCGUGAUUUGUGGGAUUCCCGGAUAUAGUCCGGCUGCUCCUCUUCCUGCCAGACACAAAGGGUGCUGUCAUAUUUCGAAUACUAUAAACUGUAGGACAGGUUAUUACUUUACCUCUGCAACGGUGUGUCAACCCUCACCGCCUUCCUCUUUAGCCUGCCCGAUCCGGACUCCCGUGGUUGACGAGUCCCUAGGAGCUUGGCCCCGCGCUCCGACUGUCGUCUCUGCAAAUAGCACGACGCCUCAAUGGUAAAUCAUAAUCCUGAGGGGAAUCCUCUUUGUAGGAUAAGGUUUUUAGUUCGGCUUACACGCUACGCAGGGAGCAGUCCAGGAUAGUCGGCUGUAAUGGCCACUAAGGCGCCAUCCCAGCUCGCUUGAUGAAAUACCCCAAUGACAAGCUCCAUAGUGAUAUCCAGAUCUUCUUUGAGUCUGGGAUCUAGGGCCCUUCCAGGGUCCUCUGGUUGCGGGGAGGGGCUGAAAACUCCUUCUACAGCCCUCCUCAGUUCCUGCUCAGAAGCAUUGAUGCAAGUAAUCUUAGCAGAAGAACGCUAGAGUAAGUGAAGCAGGGAAAAGAAUGGCAACUUACCCACUCUGGGGGGUUGUACAUGGAGAAUCUGUCUCGCAUUUUUAUGCGAAGGAAUUCCUCCUCUUCCCCUUUGUACAAAUCGGACAGAUCCUUGCCAAAGCGGCAGCGGAGUCCGGACCCUUACGGCCACAGCGGGUGGCGUUGUCUUCCCCGUUGAAAUGCCACAUGGGCUUCUCCCAAUAUUGGAGCGGUUGCACUCCUCGCCUUAUGCAUAUCGCGAUGACCUCAACUAUCGCCAGUCCAGAUUUGGCCAGUAGCUUUAUCCUAUUCAUCAGGAAGUAUAUUUCCCUUGUGUCCUCUUCUUGAGGGCCCCGGGGGCACCAGCUUAGGAGUGCCCUCGACGAGGCAUUGUUGAACUUGGGGAGACCUGUCCGGACUGGAUGUGGGAGGGGAACGUCGUCUAUAUGGAACCACUCUGAGGGCCAGUUUUCUGGUGCCUUCUCAGGAGUGCCGGACAGGUAUCCGGUCUCGGCAAUGCACCAUACUUCGGCCCCACCCACUUGACAGAGGGACUCUCCCUGGGUGCGGGGGACGAGGCAGAACAGCUUCCUCCAUAAUCCGAAGUGUGGUUGGCAGCCUAAAAACAGCUCGCAAAGGGCGAUAUACCCUGCUAUGUGCAGAAUGGAGGCAGGGGUAAGGUUGUGUAACUGGAGGCCGUAGAACUCCAGAAGCCCGCGAAGAAAUGGGUGGAUAGGAAACCCUUCUCCCCUCAGCAGAUGCAGGAUGAGGCAUAUACGCUCCUCUGGAGAUGGGUUAGAAGAUCCCUCAGCUUGUUCCCCUCUGUCAUAAGUGGCUAUUCCAGCUCGGACGGGGACCAUGAACGCCGGUGGGAGAAACCCUUGGGUUUGUAACUCUAUCAAACGGCUAUGAGGAACUGAACACUCUCCCCAAUUACCCGACUUGGAAUGAGAAGGGCGGGCAGAAGAGCUGCGACGCCCGGCCAUGCUGGAAUGGUUUUUCGUGGAGCGCUCUGUUGGAUGCUAGCUCUGUGAGGGAGAGUGAGGUUUGGAUCUGAGAAUCCCCGUCCCUUCAAAUAGACGGUUAGCCCGGAGGAUCGAGGGUGGCAAAUGCAAAAAUGCCUCGACUCCUCACAUUCGCUCGACACGUGGAGAUGGUCAUUACUGAGGCACCGAAGCCGAGGAGCACAACAUUGGUUGGAGGCCGGACACUUCGUUGUAACAGGUACUUUGGAGUAUUCGCAGAUGGAACCCGCCUUGCAAUGCCGAAGAUAAUACUGCGGGAUGGAAUCAUCGUCAUUGAAGCCUGGUUCAGGGGCUUCUGAGCGAGUCCUGGAUUAGGGGGUAUCCAGACAGCCAGACUAUGUGCAACGUCCGGACUAUUGAAGCGUGAAGAUACAAGACUCAAGACUUCGGCCCGUGUCCGGACGGGACUCUCCUUUGCGUGGGCAGCAAGCUUGGCGAUCCGGAUAUUGCGUUUCCUUUCUUGUAACCGACUCCAUGUAAACCCUAGCCCUCUCCGUGUCUAUAUAAACCGGAGAGGUUGGUCCUUAGAAGGCCGAUCACAGUUACAAUCAUACCAUUAUAGGCUAGCUCUUAGGGUUUAGCCUCUAUGAUCUCGUGGUAGAUCUACUCUUGUACUACCCAUAUCAUCAAUAUUAAUCAAGCAGGAAGUAGGGUUUUACCUCCAUCGAGAGGGCCCGAACCUGGGUAAACAUCUGUGUCCCUUGCUUCAUGUUACCAUCAACCUUGACGCACAGAUCGGGACCCCCUACCCGAGAUCUGCCGGUUUUGACACCGACAAACGCUAUCGCAAAAAAUGAGCCAUGGGUACACGCUAAGCACGUGACACAAUUCUUCUUCAUAACCGACCCAUGCAAUCCCAGUCGUGUUGUCGUGAGGAGAGGCAAAAGGAACAUCAUUGGAAUGGAUGGAGUCGCCAACGAGGAAGACUAUGAUCAUUACGGCAACCCAAUGAGGGAAGAUGACGAUGAUGAUGAAGUAUACGUCAAAAGAAGAAUCAAUACUACAUUGCCUAAGAAAAAUCAUACUCCAUGGAAAAGGCAAAGUCACAAUGAGGGGCUCAAUUAUUCUUCGACGAACAAGAAGGGAAAGAAGCUGACUCAAAAACGAAAACGUCAGCGCUGAGGAACCGUAUGUUAUUGAUCAAAUGAUGUAAUAUAUAUAUAUAUAUAUAUAUAUAUAUAUAUAUAUAUAUAUAUAUAUAUAUAUAUAUAUUCCUAUUUUGUAUACACACUUAGCCAUUAUUAUGCAUGGGUCCAAUGAUGUAAUAUAUAUGUUCCUAUUUUGUAUACAUAUUUAACCGUCAAAUGAUGCAAUAUAUAUAGCCUUCCCUUCGUUCAGUGCUCUCGGGAAAUAAAAGUGGGAGAAAAUAAAGGAAAAGAAAAAGGAAAACUGGCAGUAGAGAUUUCUUUAUAAAACCGCUACAGUCAAGCUAGCGGUAGUGACUUCCUUAUAAAACUGCUACAGCUAGUAAAGGUAGUAGCAGAGUGUUUGGUCUAAACCACUACAGCUAGUGAAGCUAGUAGCAGCGCGUUUUGUCUAAACAUGCUACUGCUACGUCCACUUAACCCAAAAUUCUCACUCUCCCUGCUUCAUCCCGCCUCUUUCCCCCCCAAAUCCCCACUCUCUCUUCCCCCAUCGCACCGCCGCGCCCCGGCGCUCACCGCCGACCCGGUCCUCGCCCUCGACCCCGGUGCGCUCGCCCUCGACCCCGGUGCGCUCGCCCCCGACCCAUCGGCCCUCGCCUCCCUCCUCUGCUUCCUCCCCUCCCAACCUCGGCCGUCGUCGGGCCUGCCUCCUCGCCACUGCACCCUCUGUAAAUCCACCCUCCCUCUCUCUCCCUGCUAGCUAGGGUUCUUCGGUUAAUUUACAUAGGUUUUAGUUAGGGCAGUUGGUUAAUUAGGUUAUCUAUUUAGUUAUGAAUUUAGCUAGGUUUUACAAUAGGACAGAAAUUUAGGGUUAAGCAAUUGUAAUUAAAAGAAAAGGCAUCAUUUAAGCAAUUGUCCAAAUCAACAUCCCUUUUUAAAGCAAAUUUAGGUAGGCUGAAUUUAUAUGCAAAUUUGAACGGGACAUGUGAUAUGUGGAUAUGUCAUGUUUUGGACAUGUCAUGUUUGGAAUUUGAACAUGUCAUUUGGACAUGUGAUGUUUUGGUUCAAUUUUGGUAAAUGAUCCGAGUGGCCUAUGUUACGUCGGAAUGUGAUGUCUACAACACAACCUUCUUCUUGUAGACGUUGUUGGGCCUGCAAGUGCACAAGUUUGUAGGACAGUAGCAAAUUUCCCACAAGUGGAUGACCUAAGGUUUAUCAAUCCGUAGGAGGCGUAGGAUGAAGAUGGUCUCUCUCAAACAACCCCACAACCAAAUAAAAAAGAGUCUCUUGUGUCCCCAACACACCCAAUACAAUGGAAAAUUGUAUAGGUGCACUAGUUCGGCGAAGAGAUGGUGAUACAAGUCCAAUAUGGAUGGUAGAUAUGGGUUUUUUCAAUCUGAAAUAAUAAAAACAGCAAGGUAACAAGUGAUAAACGUGAGCGUAAACGGUAUUGCAAUGAUAGGAAACAAGGCCUAGGGUUCAUACUUUCACUAGUGCAAGUUCUCUCAACAAUAAUAACAUAGAUAGAUAAUAUAACAAGCCCUCAACAUGUAACAAAGAGUCACUCCGAAGCCACUAAUAGCGAUAACAAACGUAGAGAUUAUGGUAGGGUACGAAACCACCUCAAAGUUAUUCUUUCGGAUCAAUAUAUAAAAGAUUUCGUACUAGAAUAACACCUUAAGACACAAAUCAACCAAAACCCUAAUGUCACCUAGAUACUCCAUUGUCACCUCAAGUAUCCGUGGGCAUGAUUAUACGAUAUGCAUCACACAAUCUCAGAUUCAUCCAACCAACAUAAAAGUACUUCAAAGAGUGCCCCAAAGUUUCUACCGGAGAGUCAAGAACGUGUGCCAACCCCUAUGCAUAGGUUCCCAAUGUCACGAAACCCGCAAGUUGAUCACCAAAACAUACAUCAAGUGGCACAUGAUAUCCCAUUGUCACCACAGAUAAUCACGACAAGACAUACAUCAAGUGUUCUCAUAAAAGACUCAAUCCGAUAAGAUAACUUCAAAGGGGAAACUCAAUUCAUCACAAGAGAGUAGAGGGGGAGAAACAUCAUAAGAUCCAACUACAAUAGCAAAGCUCAGGAUACAUCAAGAUCGUGCCAUAGAGGGAACACGAGAGAGAACACGAGAGAGAGAGAGAUCAAACACAUAGCUACUGGUACAUACCGUCAGCCCCGAGGGUGAACUACUCCCUCCUCGUCAUGGAUAGCGCCGGGAUGAUGAAGAUGGCCACCGGUGAUGGGAUCCCCUUCCGGCAGGGUGCUGGAACAGGCUCCCGAGAGGUUUUUGGUGGGUAUAGAGGCUUGCGGCGGCGGAACUCCCGAUCUAUCUUCUGUUUUGGAAGUUUUAGGGUACGUAGGUAUAUAUGGGUGCAGGGGGUACGUCAGUGGACCUCCGGGGUGCUCACGAGGUAGGGUGGCGCGCCCAGGGGGGCACCCUCGUGGGCAGCCCGGGACUCCCCUGACAUGCACUCCAAGCCCAUCAGGUUGGUUUCCUUCCAAAAUUAACUUGUCCAGUUGAUUUCGUUUUGUUUUGACUCCGUCUGAUAUUCCUUUUCCUCGAAACACUGUAAUAGGCAUAAAACAGCAAAUCUGGGCUAGGCCUCCGGUUAAUAGGCUAGUCCCAAAAAUAAUAUAAAAGUGGAUAAUAAAGCCCAAUAUUGCCUAAAACAGUAGAUAAUGUAGCAUGGAGCAAUUAAAAAUUAUAGAUACGUUGGAGAAGUAUCAAGCAUCCCCAAGCUUAAUUCCUGCUCGUCCUCGAGUAGGUAAAUGAUAAAAAAGAAUUUUUGAUGCGGAGUGAUACUUUGGCAUAAUUUCAAUGUAAAUCUUCUUACUUGUGAUAUGAAUAUUCAGAUCCGAAAGAUUCAAGACAAAAGUUCAUAUUGACACAAAAAUAAUAAUACUUCAAGCAUACUAAUCAAAACAAUCAUGUCUUCUCAAAAUAGCAUGGCAAAAGAAAGUUCAUCCCUACAAAAUCAUAUAGUUAGGCUAUGCUUCAUUUUCGUCACACAAAGAUGUUCCCAACUUCUAUACCCCCGAUGGCAAGCCAAGCAAUUGUUUCAUACUUAAAUAAUCUCAAACUUUUUCAACCUUCACGCAAUACAUGAGCGCGAGCCAUGGAUAUAGCACUAUGGGUGGAAUAGAAUAUGAUGAUGGGGAUUGUGUGGAGAAGACAAAAAAGGAGAAAGUCUCACAUUGACGAGGAUAAUCAACGAGCUAUGGAGAUGCCCAUUAAUUGAUGUCAACAUGAGGAGUAGGGAUUGCCAUGCAAUGGAUGCACUAGAGCUAUGAAUGCUCAACAAAAGAAAACUAGUGGGUGUGCAUCCAACUCCCUUGCUCACAGAGACCUAGGGCAUUUGAGGAAGCCCAUCGUAGGAUUAUACAAGCCAAGUUCUAUAAUGAAAAAUUCCCACUAGUAUAAAAAGGACAACUUAUGAGACUCACUACAUGAGGAACAAGGUGCUACUUUGAAGCACAAUUUAUGAGACUCACUACGUGAAGAACAAGGUGCUACUUUGAAGCACAAGUGUGGAAAAGAGAUAGUAGCAUUGCCCUUUUUUAUAUAUAUAUUUUUGGGCCUUCCUUUUUUUAUAUAUUUUGGUCUUUCUCUUUUUUUGGGCACUCCUCUAAUAAUGAUGAUCAUCACACUUCUAUUGAUUACAACAUAAGGAUUACGACUCGAAACUUAGAACAAGAUAUGACUCUAUAUGAAUGCCUCUGGUGGUGUACCGAGAUGGUGCAAUGAAUCAAGAGUGACAUGUAUGAAAAUAAUGCAUGGUGGCUUUGCCACAAAUACGAUGUCGACUACAUGAUCAUGCAAUGGUAAUAUGACAAAAUUAAUGUAUGUCAUGAUGAUGAUGAUGGAAGUUGCAUGGCAAUAUAUCUCGGAAUGGCUAUUGGAAUGCCAUGAUAGGUAGGUAUGGUGACUGUUUUGAGGAAGAUAUAAGGAGGCUAAUGUGUGAUAGAGCGUAUCGUAUCACGGGGUUUGGAUGCACCGGCAAAGUUUGCACCAACUCUCAAGGUGAGAAAGGGCAAUGCACGGUACCGAAGAGGCUGGCAAAGGCGGAAAGGCCAGAGUGCGUAUAAUCCAUGGACACAACAUUAGUCAAAAGAACUCAUAUUCUGAUUGCAAAAAAUUUAGAAGUCAUCAAAAAUCAAGUACUACGCGCAUGCUCCUAGGGGGAUAGAUUGGUAGGAAAAGACCAUCGCUCGUCCCCGACCGCCACUCAUAAGAAUGCACAAGACAGGUACACUUCAUGUUUCAAAUUUGUUACACAACUUUAACCAUACAUGCAUGCUACGGGACUUGCAAACUUCAACACAAGCAUUUCUCAAAUUCACAAUCACUCAACUAGCACGACUUUGAUAUUAUCACCUCCAUAUCUCAGAACAAUUAUCAAGCAUCAAACUUAUCUUAGUAUUCAAUUCACUCAAAAGAAAGUUUCACAUAUCUUGAAUACCAAGUAUAUUAACAUUAAGAAAAUUACCAUGCUAUUUAAGACUCUCAAAAUAAUAUAAGUGAAGUAUGAGAGUUCAUCUAUUUCUUCAAAAUAAAACUACCACCAUGCUCUAAAAGAUAUAAGUGAUGCACUAGAGCAAAUGACAAACUACUCCGAAAGAUAUAAGUGAAGAUCAAUGAGUAGCCGAAUAAUUAUGCAACUAUGCGAAGACUCUAUCUAAUUUAAUAAUUUCAGAUGUUGAUACUUUAUUCAAACAGCAAGCAAAGCUAAAGAAAACUACAUUGCAAGGAUAGCACAACUCAUGUGAAGAAGCAAAAACUUAGGCUCAACCGAUACUAACUGAUAGUUGUUGAAGAAGAAAGGUGGGAUGCCUACCGGGGCAUCCCCAACCUUAGAUGCUUGAGAUUUAUUGAAAUAUUAUCUUGGGGUUCCUUGGGAAUCCUCAAGCUUGAACUUUUUUGUCUCCUUAAUUCCUUUCAUAUCAUGGUUUCUCUUUUUAUGAAAAGCUUCAUUCACAACAAACUCAACAAGAACUCGUGAGAUAGGUUAGUAUAAACCAAUGCAAAACCUUAUCAUUUUCUACUAUAACAAAUCACUAACAUUAUUAUUCAACAUUUAAUACUAAAUUCCUCUGCAUAUUUAAUACUCCUAUCUUCAAAUAGAAUCUUUAAACAAGCAAACAUAUGCAAACAAUGCAAACAUCACAGCAAUCUGUCAAAACAGUACAGUCUGUAAAGAAUGCAAGAGUAUCAAUACUUCCCUAACCCCAAAAAUUAUGAACUAAAAUUCCCACUGUAAUAAAUUUAUCAGAGCUCAAUAUGCAAAAAGAUUCAACAUUAUACCACUCUCUGACUUUUCUAGGGAAUUUUUGCAACAGCGGUAAACUUUCGGUUAUCAAACAGCAACAUGUAUACUAGCAAAAUAAGCAUGGCAAAGGCUAUCCUUGACUUCUUUAUUGAAACUAAAGAUGUAAAAAAUUAUUCUAAAUUACAGAAAGCUAAUACUAACAAAAUAAAAUGACGCUCUAGGCAAAACACAUAUCAUGUGGUGAAUAAAAAUAUAGCUCCAAGUAAAGUUACCGAUGGUACGAAGACAAAAGAGGGGAUGCCUUCCGGGGCAUCCCCAAGCUUAGGCUCUUGGUUGUCCUUGAAUAUUACCUUGGGCUGCCUUGGGCAUCUCCAAGAUUAGGCUCUUGCCACUCCUUAUUCCAUAGUCCAUCGAAUCUUUACCCAAAACUUGAAAACUUCACAACACAAAACUCAACAGGAAAUCUUAUAAGCUCCGUUAGUGAAAGAAAACAAAACCACCACAUUGGUACUGUAAUUAACUCAUUAAAUUCAUAUUGGUGUAAUAUCUACUGUACUCCAACUUAUCUAUGGUUCAUACCCUCCGAUACUACUCAUAGAUUCAUCAAAAUAAGCAAACAACACAUAGAAAACAGAAUCUGUCAAAAACAGAACAGUCUGUAAUAAUCUGUAUCAAACGUAUACUUCUGGAGCUCCAACAAUCCUACCAAAUUACGAAGUCCUAAGCAAUUCGUGUACCAAUACAUAGAAAAAAUAAUAAGAUCAGAAGCACAUUUCUGUGAAUUAACAAAACUAAUUUACUGGGUGCAAAAGUUUCUGAUUUUCAGCAGGAUCAACGCAACUAUCACCGUAAGCUAUCCUAAAGGUCUUUCUUGGCACUUUAUUGAAACAAAAGCUAUAAAACAUGAUUACUACAGUAGCAUAAUCAUGUGAACACACAAAAACAGUAAGGAUAAAUAUUGGGUUGUCUCCCAACAAGCGCUUUUCUUUAAUGCCUUUCUAGCUAGGCAUGAUGAUGACAAUGAUGCUCACAUAAAAUAUAAGAAUUGGAACAUAACGGGAGCAUCAUGAAGCAUAUGACUAGCACAUUUAAGUCUAACCCACUUCCUAUGCAUAGGGAUUUUGUGAGAAAACAACUUAUGGGAACAAUAAUCAACUUGCAUAGGAAGGUAAAGCAAGUAUAACUUCAAGAUUUUAAGCACAUAGAGAGGAAACUUGACAUUAUUGCAACUCCUACAAGCAUAUGUUCCUCCCUCAUAAUAAUUUUCAGUAGAAUCAUGAAUGAAUUCAACAAUAUAACAGCACCUAAAGCAUUCUUUUCAUGACCUACAAGCAUAGAAAAUUUACUACUCUCCACAUAAGCAAAAUUCUUCUCAUGAAUAGUAGUGGGAGCAAACUCAACAAAAUAACUAUCAUGUGAUUGAAAAUUAAGAUCAAGAUGACACGUUUCAUGGUUAUUAUUAUUAUUUAAAGCAUACAUGUCAUCACAAUAAUCAUCAUAGAUAGGAGGCAUGCUUUCAUCAUAGUAAAUUUGCUCAUCAGAGCUUGGGGGACAAAAAAUAUCAUCUUCAUCAAACAUAGCUUCCCCAAGCUUGUGGCUUUGCAUAUCAUUAGCAUCAUGGAUAUUCAAGGAAUUCAUACUAACAACAUUGCAAUCAUGCUCAUCAUUCACAUAUUUCAUGCCAAACAUUCUAUGUAAUUGUUCUUCUAGCACUUGAGCACAAUUUUCAUUUCCAUCAUACUCACGAAAGAUAUUAUAAAGACGAAGCGUAUGAAACAAAAUUAACUCCAUUUUUUUAGUUUUCUUUUAUAAACUAAACUAGUGCUAAAACAAGAAACAAAAAGAUUCGAUUGCAAGAUCUAAAGAUAUACCUUCACUUACCUAGCCUCCCCGGCAACGGCGCUGGAAAAGAGCUUGAUGUCUACUACACAACCUUCUUCUUGUAGACGUUGUUGGGCCUGCAAGUGCACAGUUUUGUAGGACAGUAGCAAAUUUCCCUCAAGUGGAUGACCUAAGGUUUAUCAAUCCGUAGGAGGCGUAGGAUGAAGAUGGUCUCUCAAACAACCCUGCAACCAAAUAACCAAGAGUCUCUUGUGUCCCCAACACACCCAAUACAAUGGCAAAUUGUAUAGGUGCACUAGUUCGGCGAAGAGAUGGUGAUACAAGUGCAAUAUGGAUGGUAGAUAUGGGUUUUUGUAAUCUGAAAUAAUAAAAACAGCAAGGUAACAAGUGAUAAACAUGAGCUUAAAUGGUAUUGCAAUGAUAGGAAACAAGGCCUAGUGUUCAUACUUUCACUAGCGCAAGUUCUCUCAACAAUAAUAACCUAGAUAGAUAAUAUAACAAGCCCUCAACAUGCAACAAAGAGUCACUCCGAAGCCACUAAUAGCGGAGAACAAACGUAGAGAUUAUGGUAGGGUACGAAACCACCUCAAAGUUAUUCUUUUGGAUCAAUCUAUAAAAGAGUUCGUACUAGAAUAACACCUUAAGACACAAAUCAACCAAAACCCAAAUGUCACCUAGAUACUCCAUUGUCACCUCAAGUAUCCGUGGGCAUGAUUAUAUGAUAUGCAUCACACAAUCUCAGAUUCAUCCAACCUACAUAAAAGUACUUCAAAGAGUGCCCCAAAGUUUCUACCGGAGAGUCAAGAACGUGUGCCAACCCCUAUGCAUAGGUUCCCAAUGUCACGAAACCCGCAAGUAGAUCACCAAAACAUACAUCCAGUGGCACAUGAUAUCCCAUUGUCACCACAGAUAAUCACGACAAUACAUACAUCAAGUGUUCUCAUAAAAGACUCAAUCCGAUAAGAUAACUUCAAAGGGGAAACUCAAUUUAUCACAAGAGAGUAGAGGGGGAGAAACAUCAUAAGAUCCAACUACAAUAGCAAAGCUCGGGAUACAUCAAGAUCGUGCCAUAGAGGGAACAUGAGAGAGAACACGAGAGAGAGAGAGAGAUCAAACACAUAGCUACUGGUACAUACCGUCAGCCCCGAGGGUGAACAACUCCCUCCUCAUCAUGGAUAGCACCGGGAUGAUAAAGAUGGCCACCAGUGAUGGGAUCCCCCUCCAGAAGGGUGCCGGAACGGGAUCCCGAGAGGUUUUUGGUGGCUACAGAGGCUUGCGGCGGCGGAACUCCCGAUCUAUCUUCUGUUCUAGAAGUUUUAGGGUACGUAUGUAUAUAUGGGUGCAGGGGGUACGUCGGUGGACCUCCGGGGUGCUCACGAGGUAGGGGGGCGCGCCCAGGGGGGUCGCGCCCCCCACCCUCGUGGACAGCCCGGGACUCCCAUGAUGUGCACUCCAAGCCCAUGAGGUUGGUUUCCUUCCAAAAUUAACUUCUCCAGUUGAUUUCGUUCCGUUUUGACUCCCUCUGAUAUUCCUUUUCCUCGAAACACUGAAAUAGGCAUAAAACAACAAAUCUAGGCUGGGCCACCGGUUAAUAGGUUAGUCCCAAAAAUAAUAUAAAAGUGGAUAAUAAAUCCCAAUAUUGCCUAAAACAGUAGAUAGAGUAGCAUGGAGCAAUCAAAAAUUAUAGAUACGUUGGAGACGUAUCAGAAUGUUGAUUCAUUUCUGUUCCGGUGAAUUGCAGGCGCUCGAUAUGUCCAUUUUUUAGCAAAGGUCAUGUAGAAAUUUACCGUGAAUAAAGGCAUGAUUUGUGCUACAUAGUUGGCAUAUCGAGUGCUGGCACAUAGAUUUCUUUUUUAUGUCAUUUCUCAUUUAUUCAUACUUUUAGAAAUAAACGAGGACACUUAAUCAUAGGAAACAUGUUGAACAAUGAAGAAACUGGGCCUUCUAACCAAGAUGCAGACGAGAUGGAUUAUGAGGGUGAACAAGAGUACCUCAACUAUUUGACUGCUAAGCAAGGUUUGCAGGUCGGCCUCGAUGAUGGUACUGACGCCGACAUCGACACCGACGGUGCCGGCACCGAUGGCGGCGCCGAGACCGGCGGGGAAGGUACCGGCGCCGAUGCCACUACCGAAAAGAGGAAGCAUAAGAAGCAGAGGAUACGAAAGCCUAACAAACUAGGGAUUGGACGACUUGUGAUCACAAAGAUGGCACCUGGCAAGUUUGAGCCAUUAGAGCCGGAAGAACCUCGCAAGUGCUAUGGGAACCAAGUAGGAUGCAUCCUACGGGAAUGCGCGAGCAUCAACAACGAUGACUUAAGGAGUAAAGAACAUUUGACGCAGUUGCUCCUAACAAAGUUGCACAAGAGAUUCAAGUUCCCCGACUGGGAUGAUAACAUAGAACAACCAUGGGAUGAUCCGAAGAUGAAAAAGAUUAACAAUAACGCCAUGGGCAUGUUCAGCAAUGAUUUGGCCUCCUGGAAAGGGAGGGUGAAAUGACCUAUUGAGGCUGAGGAACCCCUGUCCGAGAUUCUGGAGGAAAAUCCGACACUUACGGAAGAGGAGUUCAAAAAGUUCAUGGACACUUACGCUACUGAGGCAGCCAAGGCUAAGGCUGCGAAAUUCAAGAGCCUUCAGCAAAGGAACACGGGGAAGCAUCACCUCGGAAGCCGUGGCUACCUCGGUAAAAGGCCCAUAUGGGAUAAGGAGGACGCGGAACGUGAAGCCGCGGGUCUCCCAGACCCCUUUGCGAAGUUCACCAACCCCUUGGAGCGUGACUUCAUCAGGGCCCGCUACAAGUGGGACAAGGAGAAAAAGGUUUUUUACAUGGACCAGAUCACGAGGAAAUUGAUUAGACUACUAGAGAAGCAUCACCAGCUUGCAGCCGAAAGCCCUACUUCUCCGAUGAGGCCCAAGUGGGACACCCCUCUCAACCGGGCCUUGAACGAACUUAAGGGACUCCCUUUGGGCCAGCGGCCGCAAUAUGGUCGUGUGCACGGAGCUGGAGACGGCGCCAUGUGGAAGGUGUCUUACAACGAGGGCCCGGAGGCCAAGAAGCAGAAAAAGAAGUUUCGUCAGGCGGACAUCAACGCGAAGGUGAAGCUUGUGGUCGAGAAAAAAGCAGUUGAGGACGCGGAAAAACAGCUGAGGAGAAAAACGAGUUGCUACAGCAGGCAGUCAAUGCGGCUGUAACUGCCUGCAGAAAUGAUUUCUCUACUAACAUGGUUCCAGCUAUCAUCAACUGGACGAAGGAAAAUCCAGACAAGAUGGUACAUGAUUUCCCAAUGCCCAGUUUCGUCGGGAGCAAUUCCAUGAACAACAACAACACCGCACCAUCACUUGCUCACGCAACCGGGCCCCCUCUCGCGGUCGCUCCCGCUCAUAGCAGCCCGUCCUCAGUCUCUGGCGUGCUAGGUGGGCCUUCGUCUUUGGCUGAGCUCGACGCCGUCACGAUAAUUACAUGUCGCACCAACAUAUAUAUAUAUAUAGAAUAUUCCAUUUUCGUUGCCUUUUGGAUGUUUUACGCCAUAGACAUAUGUGUUUGCAGGGCGAAGAAACCCCGUGCACCAUACUCUACUUGAUAAAAGGCCAGAAGGUCGACGUGGGAAAGGGGAUGAUAUUCAACCCCUUGAAACACGUUCCACAACCAGCCGAUCCCCGCUGGGCACAUCAGGGUUAGCUUGUCCAGUGUGAAAUCGGGGCAUGAGGUGUUGCCUCCUCCAGUACAGCAUGUGGGAGAGGAUGAUGAGACCCCGCCACGGAUUGGAAGCUGCAAGGGUUGGGUGCUGCUAUGGCCGAAGAAUCUUAUUCAUCUGGAGCCGGCCAAGAGCACACCAAUAACCACACAUCAACAAGCAUGUCCGGAGACCACCACCCCGCCUACGCAAUUACCAGCUCCUGUAGUGCCGAGUGAGAGCGGCGGACGACGUGAUGAAGGGGGUGCAAUAGUACUAGCUGAUGUAAUAGGUCCUGUAGAACAGAGAAUGGAUGAUGAGACGGAGGUCGACCCUAUGAGUUUCCUCAAUACAAACGCGUAUGACUGUGACAUAGAUAUGAUGAGUCAACCAUAUGACGAAUCGGGAUAUCAGCAUGCUAAUGAGGAUAUGGAUGAUAUGCCUGGGCGUUGGAAGGAUUGCAAAAAGUCUCUCUUCAUGAAUUCCUCACAGGACACGCCUGAAGAUGUCGCCUCAACAGAGGCUCAACUAGACGGGGGUCGUACAAUGCUUAGCCCGGGAACCCUAGGGCAGGGGUUAAGGAAGGGUAUGGAAGGUGUGCCCCAGAAAAAGGAGAGGAAGAGAUCGGGGAAGAUAACUGCCUCCAAACAAGCCAGAGCACAAACCAGCCAGACGAUGCAUUCUGAAGAGCGUGUACCCGUGAAAGGUACGGCCAUGUUCCAUCUCACGGGCGAUCCAAUGCUACCGCCGAAACCGCUGGAGGCACUAUCAGGGGAUCUCAGGAGACUGCACAACCAUGUGCUGUCGACUAAGAAAAGCCUACUAGCCUCAAAGGAUCCAGGAUAUCCGACAUACGUGGCUCGUGUGCCUGAGGGGAAGUGCUACGUCGAGACAUGACCCGCGGAGGUGUUCUUCCUGCGGUUUGACCAUAUCUUUGAGAUGUUUCUGAUAAGGCGACUUGAUUUUACAAUUGUCCGCCUUUUUGCGCUAUAUAUGAGCUCCGUCAUGAAGAGUGAAGAAGUCUCGUAAAUCUGUGUGGCGGAUCCGUACUACAUUCAUGAGUCUUUCUUGAUUAUCGGCGACUUUGAGCGUGAAACUGCUAGGGAGUACCUCCAAAACAUCAUGGUAUAGAAUAAGGACCGGGAAAUUGUCCUCGUGCCUUAUCAUCCAAAGUAAGUCAGUUCCGGACAACCCUUUCGUACAUUUCAAUCAUUCCUUCUCUCUCAUAUGGGGAAUAAUUUGAGGUGUCUUUUCGCCGCAGCAAUGGGCGUGCCGUCCUUAUUGUCCUUUACCUGCAAGUCUCCCAUGCUGUGUAUUUUGACCCUUCCAGAGACUACGAGAAAAAAGACUACACCCACAUAAUGAAUAUAUAGAUGAUGCUCUCCAAGGCUUCAUCAUUAGAGGUGGCCACAUGCAGAUCAGGAAACAAAGGAACAAGAAUAUGGGUUUCAUGCAUAAAACUAACUUCUCCUGCAUCCAUGUCCCAAAACCAAGCAAGAAGCAUGGAUUCUACAUCUUCCAUCUCAUGAUUUAGUUCAACAGGAUCACCAAAAGCUUCGCAUGAGAUGACUUCUUUCGCAUCCAAAGGGACAUUGCGACGAUCAUCAUGAAAGAAGUCAUCGAUGAGAAGGGGAUGUUCCACCACGGCCCUAUAUCGCGAGCUGACGUCCGAACUCACAUAGGCAUGCAACGUCUAGACCUCACACCAUUCAAGAAGCUAGGGUGCAUCCUCGAUGAUAUGGAAGGAUGGAACUUCUAGUGAUUUAUGAUGCCGAUGAUGAUGAUAUGUGUCGGUUGAACUUGUAUACUUUUUGUAGCGAUGAAACUUUGUGAUGUCCACCAUCCCUGCCAAACUUGCGUAACGCUACUUUGUUAGUUUGCGUACCAUGACCUGCGUACCUCUAGUUAAUUAGUUUGCAUACUGUAUGUUGCAUCUAGUUGCUAACCCUUUCUUUUUUGGUGUUGCUCUAGUAUAUUUUGUUGCAUAUAUAUGAUUGUACAUCCUCUUCAUGAACAUGCAUCUCUAACAGGUACCUAGUUUCUUGAUGGCGAGAUGGAAGUGCUAUGUCGUGUACAAAGGGAAGGUUCCGGGGGUGUACAAUGAGUGGCCUGAGUGUCAGGCGCAAGUGAAUGGGUUCUCGGGCGCCAACCAUAAAGGCUUCAAAAGCAGACAAGAAGGAGAAGCUAGUUACUUGAGGUUCACGCUAGCGCGAGAGAGGACUCGUAACCGACGCCUCAUGUACUGCAUAGUUCCGCUCUCACUCAUAGUGAUAGCUCUUCUCGCGUAUACCUUUGUUUAGAUGGAUGACGUUGUUGUUGCAAGUAUUCGAGACUUGCAUGUAUCGCUAUUUUCGAGAUUAUGACAAGAUACCACUUUGUGUUGGAUGAUGAUUAUGAUGAGACAAUUUGUAUGUAUAUGCUAUGAUUACAUUUGUGGUCUCGCAGGCAUUUGUAUGUGUAUCAUGAUGACAUUUGUAUGUGCUAAAGAUUCUUCUAUAAAGCCUGUUCAAAUACAAAACAAAUAUGCAUAAAAAUAUAUUAAAAUUAGCAGUAGCGAGUGGAGAAAAGUUAGCAGCAGCGCGGUAGUAUCAGUAGCGUGCACAGGCGAAGCACGCUAUAGCUAUUAGCAGUAGCGAGCUCCAUAGAAGAACGCUGCUGCUACGCUUGUAUAUCAGUAGCGCGGGCGCGCACGCGUUGCUGCUAAGGGUUAGCUGUAGCGCCUUAUUAGUAGCGCCGCCUCCCGUGCUACUGAUAUACCUAAAACCCGCGCUGCUGCUAGGCUUUUCCCUAGUAGUGCAAGCCUACUACAAAGCAGGAUGCUCAACUCACUCAUAUCUUUUGAGGAACACUUUUGCACAUCAAAAAUUCAGAUGCAUACAAAUAGAGCCAAUAAAUCUAGAUAAUGUAAUCUGGAUCACCCAGAAUUAGCUGAGCUAUUCAUACCCAAAAGUAGGCGAAGGAAGCUACAUUUCUGUAGUUAGACUUAUAGUUGGAUAAGCACCCUUGCAUGCGGUAUGAUGUCGUCAUGAACGAAUCUAUGAAACUGAAAAGACAUUGUUGUGUACUAAUUUUGGCUCCUCGGAAGCUAGUACAAAAGAAGAGGAUCCAAUUGAAUAUUGUUCUUAUCUUCCUAGAAAAGAAAAGGUAAAAAACUGAUUCAGAGCUGAUUGCAGGUAGGUAAAUCAUCUAUUCACCUUGAUUAACCCACCAGUUUAUAUACUUAAUCCUCGAUUUUAUCCUGUCUAGUAGGUUUGCAGUAGACGUUAGUAUAGGUUACUCAACCUGAGAGCCACAUAUGUGACAAGGCG
rnacentral:lncRNA from 1 species